rnacentral:rRNA from 1 species
AGAAUCAACGCUGGCGGCGUGCCUAACACAUGCAAGUCGAACGCGAAAGUCCCGCAAGGGAUAAGUAGAGUGGCAAACGGGUGAGUAACACGUGGGUGACCUGCCUUCGAGUGGGGGAUAACGUCCGAAAGGGACGCUAAUACCGCAUGACAUCCUGCUUUUUAAGAGGUGGAGAUCAAAGCUGGGGAUCGCAAGACCUAGCGCUUGAAGAGGGGCCCGCGCCUGAUUAGCUAGUUGGUGGGGUAAUGGCUCGACCAAGGCAACGAUCAGUA